AACGUAGGUGGCAAGCGUUAUCCGGAAUUACUGGGCGUAAAGGGUGUGCAGGCGGGACCACAAGUGGUGUAUGAAAUCUCCCAGCUUAACUGGGAGGGGUUAUGCCAGACUGUGGUUCUAGAGGACGAGAGAGGGGGGUGGAAUUCCGGGUGUAGUGGUGAAAUGCGUAGAGAUCCGGAGGAACCCCAGAGGCGAAGGCGGCCCCCUGGCUCGUACCUGACGCUCAGCCACGAAAGCAUGGGGAGCGAACGGG
rnacentral:rRNA from 1 species